AGAGUUUGAUCCUGGCUCAGGAUGAACGCUAGCGGCAGGCCUAACACAUGCAAGUCGAGGGGUAGAGUUCUUCGGAACUUGAGACCGGCGCACGGGUGCGUAACGCGUAUGCAAUCUACCUUAUACUAAGGGAUAGCCCAGAGAAAUUUGGAUUAAUACCUUAUGGUUAAUAAAACCGGCAUCGGUUUAAUUAUAAAGAUUUAUUGGUAUAAGAUGAGCAUGCGUCCCAUUAGUUAGUUGGUAAGGUAACGGCUUACCAAGACGAUGAUGGGUAGGGGUCCUGAGAGGGAGAUCCCCCACACUGGUACUGAGACACGGACCAGACUCCUACGGGAGGCAGCAGUGAGGAAUAUUGGUCAAUGGGCGCAAGCCUGAACCAGCCAUGCCGCGUGCAGGAUGAAGCAUCUAUGGUGUGUAAACUGCUUUUGUACGGGAAGAAAAAACAUUACGUGUAAUGUACUGACGGUACCGUAAGAAUAAGGAUCGGCUAACUCCGUGCCAGCAGCCGCGGUAAUACGGAGGAUCCGAGCGUUAUCCGGAAUUAUUGGGUUUAAAGGGUUCGUAGGCGGUUAAAUAAGUCAGUGGUGAAAUUUCCUAGCUUAACUAGGGCACUGCCAUUGAUACUGUUUGACUUGAAUAGUAUGGAAGUAACUAGAAUAUGUAGUGUAGCGGUGAAAUGCUUAGAUAUUACAUGGAAUACCAAUUGCGAAGGCAGGUUACUAACAAUAUAUUGACGCUGAUGGACGAAAGCGUGGGUAGCGAACAGGAUUAGAUACCCUGGUAGUCCACGCCGUAAACGAUGGAUACUAGCUGU
rnacentral:rRNA from 1 species